UACAGAGGUCUCAAGCGUUGUUCGGAUUCAUUGGGCGUAAAGGGCGCGUAGGCGGCCCGCUAAGUCGAACGUGAAAUCCCCAGGCUCAACCUGGGAACUGCGUCCGAUACUGGCAGGCUUGAAUCCGGGAGAGGGAUGUGGAAUUCCUGGUGUAGCGGUGAAAUGCGCAGAUAUCAGGAGGAACACCCGUGGCGAAAGCGGCUCUCUGGGACGGUACUGACGCUGAGACGCGAAAGCGUGGGGAGCAAACAGG
rnacentral:rRNA from 1 species